rnacentral:rRNA from 1 species
GACGAACGCUGGCGGCGUGCUUAACACAUGCAAGUCGAACGGUGACCUCGAGAGCUUGCUCUCGGGUGAUCAGUGGCGAACGGGUGAGUAACACGUGAGUAACCUGCCCCAGACUCUGGAAUAACCCCGGGAAACCGGAGCUAAUACCGGAUACGAGACGGAGAGGCAUCUCUACCGUCUGGAAAGUUUUUCGGUCUGGGAUGGACUCGCGGCCUAUCAGCUUGUUGGUGAGGUAACGGCUCACCAAGGCGACGACGGGUAGCCGGCCUGAGAGGGCGACCGGCCACACUGGGACUGAGACACGGCCCAGACUCCUACGGGAGGCAGCAGUGGGGAAUAUUGCACAAUGGGCGAAAGCCUGAUGCAGCGACGCCGCGUGAGGGAUGACGGCCUUCGGGUUGUAAACCUCUUUCAGCAGGGAAGAAGCGAAAGUGACGGUACCUGCAGAAGAAGCACCGGCUAACUACGUGCCAGCCGCCGCGGUAA